AUUGAACGCUGGCGGCAGGCUUAACACAUGCAAGUCGAGCGGUAACAGAGAGAAGCUUGCUUCUCUGCCGACGAGCGGCGGACGGGUGAGUAAUGCCUAGGAAUCUGCCUAGUAGUGGGGGAUAACUUGCCGAAAGGUAAGCUAAUACCGCAUACGUCCUACGGGAGAAAGGAGGGGACCUUCGGGCCUUUCGCUAUUAGAUGAGCCUAGGUCGGGUUAGUUAGUUGGUGAGGUAAUGGCUCACCAAGGCCGCGAUCCGUAACUGGUAUGAGAGGAUGAUCAGUCACACUGGAACUGAGACACGGUCCAGACUCCUACGGGAGGCAGCAGUGGGGAAUAUUGGACAAUGGGGGGAACCCUGAUCCAGCCAUGCCGCGUGUGUGAAGAAGGUCUUAGGAUUGUAAAGCACUUUAAGUUGGGAGGAAGAGCAGUUAACUAAUAUUUGACUGUUUUGACGUUACCGAAAGAAUAAGCACCGGCUAACUUCGUG
rnacentral:rRNA from 1 species